ensembl:lncRNA
UUUCGCAAUAUGCGAUGGCUGUUUCAGUCAUCAGGUCUCAACCCAAUUCAACACUUAUGGAAGAUUCUGGAGAAGCGCCAUCAACAAAACACCAAAUGGUGGAAUUUCUUGUGGAAGAAUGUCACAUCCUUCGAAUAGAGUUCUAGACACUUGUAGAAUAUAUGCCAAGGAGCACUAUAAAGAGAGAGGGAGUGGGAGAGAGAACAGGCAGAACCUGAUAUGUAAAUGAGUAAAGCAAAUGAAAGGAACUUUCGACGACCAAAUGAUCAUUCCAGACUCUGCUUCUGUUGAGAGAGAUAAAAGGGGUCAGUGCUCUAAAAUGAGUCUCUCAUUGGAACAUGACACCACAGCUAAGAGUUUCACCACAAUACCUACCUGUUUCAAUACAUGGAGGCAAUAUCCCUGAUGUUACCCGUGCACAUACAGAUCUCCUGCUUUUAGGUAGGUUAUACUUAAUGUCUCUCUCACACACAUUCACCCUUAACCAAACAAAAAGUUUUCACUUUGGGUUCAUGAUUAAUCUUCUUUUGCCAAAUAAUUUAUAAACAUAGCAAACAAAGUUGGUGAUAAGGCGUCGCCUAUCUGUACGAUAUUCAUUAACACGCACACAAGCAAUUGGUACUGUAACGGCAUUCUUCCUGGGAAGGAGAGGAGGACCAAAAUGCAGCGUGGUUAAAGUUCAUGGUUCUUUAAUAAGAGAAACUAAACAUGAACAAAAUAGAAAACAAUAAACGUGGCAAAACCGAAACAGUCCUAUCUGGUGCAGAGAACACAAAGACAGGAAACAACCACCCACAAAACCCAACACAAAACAGGCUACCUAAAUAUGGUUCCCAAUCAGAGACAAUGACUAAUACCUGCCUCUGAUUGAGAACCAUAUCAGGCCAUACAUAGAAAUAGACAAACUAGACACACAACAUAGAAUGCCCACCCAGCUCACGUCCUGACCAACACUAAAACAAGGAAAACACACAAGAACUAUGGUCAGAACGUGGCAGGUUUUUUGUAAAGAGACUGGAUUGCGUGAUACAAUUUCCCAUCAACGCCUGUAUUUAACAAACUAUAGGCUAAAAUAUCCUUAAACAAGUUAAAGGAAAUGCUACCAAAUACUAAUUGAGUGUAUGUUAACUUCUGACCUAUUGGGAAUGUGAUGAAAGAAAUAAAAGCUGAAAUCAAUCAUUCUCUCUACUAUUAUUCUGACAUUUAACAUUCUUAAAAUAAAGUGGUGUUCCUAACUGACGUAAGACAGGGAAUUUUUACGAGGAUUAAAUGUCAGGAAUUGUGAAAAAAUGUGUUUAAAUGUAUUUGGCUAAGGUGUAUGUAAACUUCCGACUUCAACUGUAUAAGAAUGUUCUAAAACUGUAUUGUCCAGUUUAGUUCUCAUGGAACAUAUAUCUUUAUAAAAGUUAUUCUUCAAAAUAUGCCGCAUUUUUGUUACCUGAGAACAAACUAGCAAACCCCUUCUCCCACUCCUUAAGAACCUGUGUAAUAUCAGAGUUCAGCCCCCCUGCUCUUCCCUGACUUCCAUUGGAAUUUUCUUACGUCGUUUUGGUCCUAACUUGUUUAUUUGGCUUCAAAACUGUUGAGGAUUUCUUGUCUGUAUCUCCUUAAAGUGUAGUAACUGCUCUCUCUGAUAUCUCCAUUUGAAUAGGAGCAGUCUUUUAUCAAACAUAUGCUGUUGUUUCUUAAAUUCAUUCCUAAAAUGUUCUCUUAUAUUCCUAUCUUUACACUGUAAUAAGUACACAGCCUUGCGCAAUACUGACCAUAGACCCCUAACUCAUCAUUCCAGUAAGGCGUGUUCGGCUUGUAAACUUUCCUGGACUUCGGGGCGUAUUCUUUAUUCGCAUCGUUGUUCCCCAUUUCAGAAUAUAUGAUAUCACAAAAUGUUUCAUAUCACACAUAUACAUUUAGAGGCGGCAGGUAGCCUAACUGUUAGAGCGUUGGGCCAGUAACCGAAAGGUUGCUGUUUCGAAUACCCGAGACGACAAUGUGAAAAAACCUGUUGAGGUGUCCUUGAGCAAGGCACUUAACCAUCAUUUUCUCCAGGGGCGCCGUACUACUAUGUCUGACCUGUAAGUAGGCUGUCAAUGUAAAUAAUAAUUUGUUCUUAUCUGACUUGCCUCUGUAAAUAAAAGUUUUUAAAAAUCAAA